UUUUAAGUUAUUAAGGGCGCACGGUGGAUGCCUUGGCACUAGAAGCCGAUGAAGGACGUUACUAACGACGAUAUGCUUUGGGGAGCUGUAAGUAAGCUUUGAUCCAGAGAUUUCCGAAUGGGGAAACCCAACAUGAGUUAUGUCAUGUUAUCGAUAUGUGAAUACAUAGCAUAUCAGAAGGCACACCCGGAGAACUGAAACAUCUUAGUACCCGGAGGAAGAGAAAGAAAAUUCGAUUCCCUUAGUAGCGGCGAGCGAAACGGGAAGAGCCCAAACCAACAAGCUUGCUUGUUGGGGUUGUAGGACACUCUAUACGGAGUUACAAAGGACGACAUUAGACGAAUCAUCUGGAAAGAUGAAUCAAAGAAGGUAAUAAUCCUGUAGUCGAAAAUGUUGUCUCUCUUGAGUGGAUCCUGAGUACGACGGAGCACGUGAAAUUCCGUCGGAAUCUGGGAGGACCAUCUCCUAAGGCUAAAUACUCUCUAGUGACCGAUAGUGAACCAGUACCGUGAGGGAAAGGUGAAAAGCACCCCGGAAGGGGAGUGAAAUAGAACCUGAAACCGUGUGCUUACAAGUAGUCAGAGCCCGUUAAUGGGUGAUGGCGUGCCUUUUGUAGAAUGAACCGGCGAGUUACGAUUUGAUGCAAGGUUAAGCAGUAAAUGUGGAGCCGUAGCGAAAGCGAGUCUGAAUAGGGCGUUUAGUAUUUGGUCGUAGACCCGAAACCAGGUGAUCUACCCUUGGUCAGGUUGAAGUUCAGGUAACACUGAAUGGAGGACCGAACCGACUUACGUUGAAAAGUGAGCGGAUGAACUGAGGGUAGCGGAGAAAUUCCAAUCGAACCUGGAGAUAGCUGGUUCUCUCCGAAAUAGCUUUAGGGCUAGCCUCAAGUGAUGAUUAUUGGAGGUAGAGCACUGUUUGGACGAGGGGCCCCUCUCGGGUUACCGAAUUCAGACAAACUCCGAAUGCCAAUUAAUUUAACUUGGGAGUCAGAACAUGGGUGAUAAGGUCCGUGUUCGAAAGGGAAACAGCCCAGACCACCAGCUAAGGUCCCAAAAUAUAUGUUAAGUGGAAAAGGAUGUGGCGUUGCCCAGACAACUAGGAUGUUGGCUUAGAAGCAGCCAUCAUUUAAAGAGUGCGUAAUAGCUCACUAGUCGAGUGACACUGCGCCGAAAAUGUACCGGGGCUAAACAUAUUACCGAAGCUGUGGAUUGUCCUUUGGACAAUGGUAGGAGAGCGUUCUAAGGGCGUUGAAGCAUGAUCGUAAGGACAUGUGGAGCGCUUAGAAGUGAGAAUGCCGGUGUGAGUAGCGAAAGACGGGUGAGAAUCCCGUCCACCGAUUGACUAAGGUUUCCAGAGGAAGGCUCGUCCGCUCUGGGUUAGUCGGGUCCUAAGCUGAGGCCGACAGGCGUAGGCGAUGGAUAACAGGUUGAUAUUCCUGUACCACCUAUAAUCGUUUUAAUCGAUGGGGGGACGCAGUAGGAUAGGCGAAGCGUGCGAUUGGAUUGCACGUCUAAGCAGUAAGGCUGAGUAUUAGGCAAAUCCGGUACUCGUUAAGGCUGAGCUGUGAUGGGGAGAAGACAUUGUGUCUUCGAGUCGUUGAUUUCACACUGCCGAGAAAAGCCUCUAGAUAGAAAAUAGGUGCCCGUACCGCAAACCGACACAGGUAGUCAAGAUGAGAAUUCUAAGGUGAGCGAGCGAACUCUCGUUAAGGAACUCGGCAAAAUGACCCCGUAACUUCGGGAGAAGGGGUGCUCUUUAGGGUUAACGCCCAGAAGAGCCGCAGUGAAUAGGCCCAAGCGACUGUUUAUCAAAAACACAGGUCUCUGCUAAACCGUAAGGUGAUGUAUAGGGGCUGACGCCUGCCCGGUGCUGGAAGGUUAAGAGGAGUGGUUAGCUUCUGCGAAGCUACGAAUCGAAGCCCCAGUAAACGGCGGCCGUAACUAUAACGGUCCUAAGGUAGCGAAAUUCCUUGUCGGGUAAGUUCCGACCCGCACGAAAGGCGUAACGAUUUGGGCACUGUCUCAACGAGAGACUCGGUGAAAUCAUAGUACCUGUGAAGAUGCAGGUUACCCGCGACAGGACGGAAAGACCCCGUGGAGCUUUACUGUAGCCUGAUAUUGAAAUUCGGCACAGCUUGUACAGGAUAGGUAGGAGCCUUUGAAACGUGAGCGCUAGCUUACGUGGAGGCGCUGGUGGGAUACUACCCUAGCUGUGUUGGCUUUCUAACCCGCACCACUUAUCGUGGUGGGAGACAGUGUCAGGCGGGCAGUUUGACUGGGGCGGUCGCCUCCUAAAAGGUAACGGAGGCGCUCAAAGGUUCCCUCAGAAUGGUUGGAAAUCAUUCAUAGAGUGUAAAGGCAUAAGGGAGCUUGACUGCGAGACCUACAAGUCGAGCAGGGUCGAAAGACGGACUUAGUGAUCCGGUGGUUCCGCAUGGAAGGGCCAUCGCUCAACGGAUAAAAGCUACCCCGGGGAUAACAGGCUUAUCUCCCCCAAGAGUUCACAUCGACGGGGAGGUUUGGCACCUCGAUGUCGGCUCAUCGCAUCCUGGGGCUGUAGUCGGUCCCAAGGGUUGGGCUGUUCGCCCAUUAAAGCGGUACGCGAGCUGGGUUCAGAACGUCGUGAGACAGUUCGGUCCCUAUCCGUCGUGGGCGUAGGAAAUUUGAGAGGAGCUGUCCUUAGUACGAGAGGACCGGGAUGGACAUACCUCUGGUGUACCAGUUGUCGUGCCAACGGCAUAGCUGGGUAGCUAUGUGUGGACGGGAUAAGUGCUGAAAGCAUCUAAGCAUGAAGCCCCCCUCAAGAUGAGAUUUCCCAACUUCGGUUAUAAGAUC
rnacentral:rRNA from 1 species